GACGAGCGCUGGCGGCGUGCCUAAUACAUGCAAGUCGAGCGAAGUUUUUCUGGUGCUUGCACUAGAAAAACUUAGCGGCGAACGGGUGAGUAACACGUAAAGAACCUGCCUCAUAGACGGGGACAACUAUUGGAAACGAUAGCUAAUACCGGAUAACAACAUAAAUCGCAUGAUAUAUGUUUAAAAGUUGGUUUCGGCUAACACUAUGAGAUGGCUUUGCGGUGCAUUAGCUAGUUGGUGGGGUAAAGGCCUACCAAGGCGACGAUGCAUAGCCGACCUGAGAGGGUGAUCGGCCACACUGGGACUGAGACACGGCCCAGACUCCUACGGGAGGCAGCAGUAGGGAAUCUUCCGCAAUGGGCGAAAGCCUGACGGAGCAACGCCGCGUGAGUGAAGAAGGAUUUCGGUUCGUAAAGCUCUGUUGUUAGGGAAGAAUGAUUGUGUAGUAACUAUACACAGUAGAGACGGUACCUAACCAGAAAGCCACGGCUAACUACGUGCCAGCAGCCGCGGUAAUACGUAGGUGGCAAGCGUUGUCCGGAAUUAUUGGGCGUAAAGCGCGCGCAGGUGGUUUAAUAAGUCUGAUGUGAAAGCCCACGGCUCAACCGUGGAGGGUCAUUGGAAACUGUUAAACUUGAGUGCAGGAGAGAAAAGUGGAAUUCCUAGUGUAGCGGUGAAAUGCGUAGAGAUUAGGAGGAACACCAGUGGCGAAGGCGGCUUUUUGGCCUGUAACUGACACUGAGGCGCGAAAGCGUGGGGAGCAAACAGG
rnacentral:rRNA from 1 species